UGACGAUGAUCAUUCAACCUAAAACAUCGUAUACAAUUACAUCAUUCAAAAAACGUUUGCAUAAAUAAGUUUUUGGAUGGCACUAUACUCUGCUGACUACACCUCCUUUGUCACAAAAAGUUACCUUCAAGUUCAACAGCAAAUUCUAUCAAGAGGCUCCAUGUGAGAUUAUAAAAAAAGAGAUGCACUCGCAUGUUUUCAACAAGGCAGAACAUGAUAUCUGCAUAGUGACGCAGCCUCCAACUUUUGACUACAACACGAGAAACUCGACAGUUCCUCUAUCUCAACUUGCAGCUUUAGGAAAUUUCAAUAUUUACUGUUGAUUUGGAAAACACCAAAACUAAGUUGGAGAAAGGACUAUUGAAGAUUAUCCUGCAUGGCUAAGCUGAUUAGUAUUUUUCACAGAAAUGAAUGGUGUUCCUGGUGGUGAAGAUAUUGAAGCUACUAAAGCUGUAAUGUAAUGUAAUAGUUUUCAAAUUAGUUAACACCUCAGAUAAAGUUAAUUGAACACCUUUCAUUAGAUAAAGUUAAUUUCAAGUUUUAUCUCAAAA